UUUUAAAGUGGUGUACUUAUGAGAAUAGAAGUAAUUAGCCAGAGACCAAAAUUCAAAUACACAAUGGAUUUUUGGGUUCAGAUUUUCAGCUUCCUGCUAAUCAGUGUCACAGGAUCCAGGGGAGAAAUUGUGCUCACCCAGUCUCCAACAACCACGGCUGCAUCUCCAGGGGAGAAGGUCACCAUCACCUGCAGUGUCAGCUCAAGUAUAAAUUCCAAUUACUUGCACUGGUACCAACAGAAGCCAGGAUCCUCCCCUAAACUAUUGAUUUAUCGCACAUCCAACCUGGCUUCUGGAGUCCCAGGUCGCUUCAGCGGCAGUGGGUCUGGGACCUCUUAUUCUCUCACAAUCAGCACCAUGGAGGUUGAAGAUGCUGCCACUUAUUACUGUCAGCAGGGUAGUAGUUCCCCAUCCACACAGUGAUACAGACUUGAGCAA